rnacentral:tRNA from 1 species
GGGAAUGUAGCUCAGUGGUAGAGUGCUUGCCUAGCAUGCAUGAAACCCUGGAUUUGAUUCCUCAGUACCA